UAGGGAAUCUUCCGCAAUGGACGCAAGUCUGACGGAGCAACGCCGCGUGAGUGAAGAAGGAUUUCGGUUCGUAAAACUCUGUUGUUAGAGAAGAACAGCGCAUAGAGUAACUGUUAUGCGUGUGACGGUAUCUAACCAGAAAGCCACGGCUAACUACGUGCCAGCAGCCGCGGUAAUACGUAGGUGGCAAGCGUUGUCCGGAUUUAUUGGGCGUAAAGCGAGCGCAGGCGGUCAAUUAAGUCUGAUGUGAAAGCCCCCGUCUCAACCGGGGAGGGUCAUUGGAAACUGGUUGACUUGAGUGCAGAAGGGGAGAGUGGAAUUCCAUGUGUAGCGGUGAAAUGCGUAGAUAUAUGGAGGAACACCAGUGGCGAAGGCGACUCUCUGGUCUGUAACUGACGCGGAGGCUCGAAAGCGUGGGUAGCAAACAGG
rnacentral:rRNA from 1 species